UACGUAGGUGGCAAGCGUUGUCCGGAAUUAUUGGGCGUAAAGCGCGCGCAGGUGGUUUCUUAAGUCUGAUGUGAAAGCCCACGGCUCAACCGUGGAGGGUCAUUGGAAACUGGGGAACUUGAGUGCAGAAGAGGAAAGUGGAAUUCCAAGUGUAGCGGUGAAAUGCGUAGAGAUUUGGAGGAACACCAGUGGCGAAGGCGGGUCUCUGGGCAUUUCCUGACGCUGAGGCGCGAAAGCGUGGGGAGCAAACGGG
rnacentral:rRNA from 1 species